rnacentral:rRNA from 1 species
GUUGAACGCUGGCGGCGUGCCUAAUACAUGCAAGUCGAGCGAACAGACGAGGAGCUUGCUCCUCUGACGUUAGCGGCGGACGGGUGAGUAACACGUGGAUAACCUACCUAUAAGACUGGGAUAACUUCGGGAAACCGGAGCUAAUACCGGAUAAUAUAUUGAACCGCAUGGUUCAGUAGUGAAAGACGGUUUUGCUGUCACUUAUAGAUGGAUCCGCGCCGCAUUAGCUAGUUGGUAAGGUAACGGCUUACCAAGGCGACGAUGCGUAGCCGACCUGAGAGGGUGAUCGGCCACACUGGAACUGAGACACGGUCCAGACUCCUACGGGAGGCAGCAGUAGGGAAUCUUCCGCAAUGGGCGAAAGCCUGACGGAGCAACGCCGCGUGAGUGAUGAAGGUCUUCGGAUCGUAAAACUCUGUUAUUAGGGAAGAACAAAUGUGUAAGUAACUAUGCACGUCUUGACGGUACCUAAUCAGAAAGCCACGGCUAACUACGUG